GACGAACGCUGGCGGCGUGCUUAACACAUGCAAGUCGAACGGAAAGGCCCUGCUUGCAGGGUACUCGAGUGGCGAACGGGUGAGUAACACGUGGGUGAUCUGCCCUGUACUUCGGGAUAAGCUUGGGAAACUGGGUCUAAUACCGGAUAGGAACCAUCUUUAGUGUGGUGGUUGGAAAGUUUUUUCGGUGUAGGAUGAGCUCGCGGCCUAUCAGCUUGUUGGUGGGGUAAUGGCCUACCAAGGCGGCGACGGGUAGCCGGCCUGAGAGGGUGUACGGCCACAUUGGGACUGAGAUACGACCCAGACUCCUACGGGAGGCAGCAGUGGGGAAUAUUGCACAAUGGGCGCAAGCCUGAUGGAGCGACGCCGCGUGGGGGAUGAAGGCCUUCGGGUUGUAAACUCCUUUCGCUAGGGACGAAGCGUUGUUGUGACGGUACCUAGAUAAGAAGCACCGGCUAACUACGUG
rnacentral:rRNA from 1 species